CGAGAGCUACGACAACAACCGUUACAACAACGAAGAGUUCAACAACAAGUACGAUGAAAACUUCAAGGAAGAGUUCAACAACAACAAGUACGACGAAAACGUCAAGGAAGAGUUCAACAACAACAAGUACGACGAAAACUUCAAGGAAGAGUUCAACAACAACAAGUACGAUGAAAACGUCAAGGAAGAGUUCAACAACAACAAGUACGAUGAAAACGUUAAGGAAGAGUCAUUCUCUGAGAACAAUGAAGACAAGAGAGGUAUCUACAACUCCAACGCUUACGGAACGGAGCAAGAGCGUGAAACGCCGUA
rnacentral:lncRNA from 1 species